GCAUUAUAUCCUUUUAAUACAGAGAGGAAAGGAACCUCAGGGAUCAAGUUCAAUGCCUUUCAUUAUUUGAAUUUUAAAGUCAUCUUGACACGGUUAUGGAAUCCUGGAUUUGUGAGAGAAUUAUUGGGUUCCAGAUCUAAAAUCACCAGGAUUUAUCAAGUAUGGUGCCUGACGCAUAGUAAGUAUUUUUUUAAUGCUUGUUCCAUUAAAGUAACCGAACCACAUCUUAUAUUUGGCAAUUUGAUUACCUGCUCUGAGCUUUGUUUUUAAUAUGUGUACAACACAAAUUAUAUCACAAGGUAAAAUAAAUUCGCCAAGCUUUAAGCUCCCUAGAGUGUUUUACAGUGAUUUCUGAGAGUUCUACAUGGUACAUCUCAGAUGCUCAGAAAUCCUUUUCUCUUUCUUCAGCCUCCUCCUUCAGCUGCCCUGAGGCUGCCUUUGCUGGCUGCUUCUGCUACUGCUGCUCUGAGAAAGGGAACCGUGUUCUUGGUGUUGUGCUCUAUCCCUUUAACUUCUCACUGGUCUGCAGAGACCAGGCAGUAUCAGUUAAUUGGAUUUUAUCAAAAAUCCUCUGAUACUAUAUGAGGGACACAAUCUAGAGAAUCAUAUGCAGCCCUGCAGCUUUCUCCAGCCAGUCACAGAGUUGGUAUUCAAAAACUAAGAAUUACUGAUGUGCUCAGUAAUAGAAGCACUCUGAAACAAGAAAGCAGAUGUCCCAAUCCAGACCAAUUUUCCUCUUGAUGAAGCAUUAGAGAUUGAGUUCAGAACCACAUUUUUAUCCUUCAUAGUCCAUUGUCAGUAAUCAUGUAACGCGCUCUUCAUGGGUCUCAUUCCUAUACAUUUCAGAAUGUAGCUUCUAUUACUCUCAAUCAGUCUUUUUAUCAUCUUCUCCAAAUCUAGCUAAAGACUUCCUUCCAGCUUAGUGACAUGGGCCUUUCCUGGCGGUCUCUGAUCAUGUCUUCUUACGAGCUAGUCUACUUAACUAGCACUCUGGUUUCUACACAUCGAUUAAGUAGGUAUUUGCUAGGUUACAACCUUGACUUUUUCUCUUACCCACAUGAAUCAGACUAGUGUAAAACUUGAGUACGAGCUUAGGAGUAGGCUAUACUGGCCAUUUAUUAAGUGGUGUGUCCUUUAGUAGUUACAUAAUGUUUCUAUGACUUAGCAUCCAUGAUCGGUAAAAUGAAGUGAAAAAUAAUUGCUUACAUUUUAGUGAACACUUACGAUGUGCCAGGUACUGUUAUAAACACUUUAUAUGCAUUAAGUUACUUCUUAUCACAGCUUUAGGGGGUUAUUAUCAGAACACUGAAACACAGAGAAGUUAAAUAAUUUGCCCCAAAUGACAUGGAUAUUAAACAGCUGAGCCAGGAUUUGAAUAUAGGUAGUUCAGCCCCCGUGUUAAUUGCUACAUUAUGCUGCUUCUCAAUAAUGAUAUUCUUUACUCAUAGGAUUCAUAUGCAAUUCAAAUAAAAUAAUGCAUGUAAAGCUCUUAGUGUAGUUACUGCAUAAAUUAAAUGCCUAGAUAAUGUUAACUCAAUGUUUCUUUUAUUGUUAAUUUUUCUUUUGGUGGGUUACAUUGAUAUCAAUGGUAGUGUUCCUACUCCAUAUAUUCUGAUACAUGAUUUCUUUUUUAUCUAAGCUCUUUUUGUUUUCAUUACUGGUUUUUGCUCUUAUAUCCAUCCAUGUGUCCAUCCAUCCAUCCAUCCAUCCAUCCAUCCUUCCUUCCAUCCAUCCUUCCAUCCUCAGUUUAUUCAUUCUUAGAAGACUUACACCACCCAUUUUUCUUAGGUAGUCUUCCCUGAUCACACAUAGGGGUCUAUUCAUCCUGCUAAUAUCUGCAGCUCCAACUGUUAUCUGCCAUACUUUUUAAAUCCACCAACAAUAUCUUGUUUUAUAAUCAUAUAUAUUUGCAAUAUUUUCCCUAACUAGAAUCUAAGUCCUUUAAUAACAAAGACCAUAAAUGUGUACUCUCAUUGUAUCUCUCAUAGUUCAUGGUUGGAAUUUGUGACCUUCUUUGCCUUUGUUGUAUCACCUUUCCUUAGAUGAGAUCUUACCAUGGUGAGAAAAGAAGCUUAUAUUUAUAGUCAAUAAAUUUCCAACCCUAUGUGAUUUUCUGUUAUUAAAUAUUUUUCUCUCCAUUGAUAAAUAUUUUAUUAAAGAUCAACAAGCUGUUUACUCCCAUCCACACCCCUAUCUCCACAUAGGAUGUUCUAUCUUAAAAGAUUCUGAUGUGUCUGUCUUCUGGAUAGUUCCAAAUAACAGAUCCAGCAUAUCACAAGAAGACAGCUCACAGCAGAGUUCUGACUGUGCUGUCUAACUGCGGAUACUGUGCUAUAGGUCUCUUCUAAAGAACUUGCUUGAAACUUUCAAAUGUUGCCUUAGAGGAACAUUCCCAAAUUACAUGUUAUAGAUAUUAUGCUAAAAGGUUUUCACAGUUAAAUACAUUUUGCAAGCAGUAUCCUAAACAAGAUAAAAAUAUUACUUUACUGCAGUACAUCUUAGAGCCAGCAUUAUGCUAAUGUACUGAAUAUACCAAUGUGGGAAAAAGUAUGCAGCAUUUUCUAAAAUUAUUUGACCAUGGGAAGCUAUUUUUCAGAGAUUCUCUCAUUUCAUGGACUGGAAUUGAGAAAAAUGUUCUUGGGAAACACUGCAUGAAGAAUUCAAUCCUUUG
rnacentral:lncRNA from 1 species